rnacentral:rRNA from 1 species
GUGGGGAAUCUUCCGCAAUGGACGAAAGUCUGACGGAGCGACGCCGCGUGAGUGAAGAAGGCCUUCGGGUCGUAAAGCUCUGUCAUCAGGGACGAACGGCCGGUGGAGUGGAAAGCCACCGGAUUGACGGUACCUGAGAAGGAAGCCACGGCUAACUACGUGCCAGCAGCCGCGGUAAUACGUAGGUGGCAAGCGUUGUCCGGAAUUAUUGGGCGUAAAGCGCGCGCAGGUGGGAUCUUAAGUCCAUUUUGAAAGUUCGGAGCUCAACUCCGUGAUGGGAUGGAAACUGGGAUUCUUGAGUACCGGAGAGGAAAGCGGAAUUCCCCGUGUAGCGGUGAAAUGCGUAGAUAUGGGGAGGAACACCAGUGGCGAAGGCGACUUUCUGGACGAUGUCUGACGCUGAGGCGCGAAAGCUAGGGGAGCGAACGGGAUUAGAAACCCUAGUAGUCC